rnacentral:lncRNA from 1 species
GCGGCUCUUUCUAGGAGUCUAGUUUCUUGCUAAUUGCAGAUGAAGCCUGAUCUGAUGGAUCCCCCUCGCCUUGAGAAUGCUCUGAUACUCUGAGACCUGGAGCUGGAUGUUUAGGAUAAUGCCUUCCUUGGAGCCUCACGCUUUGGGAAGGUGGUGAUUGACUGAUUCGUGCAUGUCCAUGCAAUUUGGCGCAUUCAGCUGCGUGCUUGCGGAUGUGGAUGUAUUUCACAGAAGCAGCAGCCUGCCUUCCCUUCCCUGGAUUCCAUCUGCUGUGCGAAACAAGAUCUGCAGUCAUUCCCAGGUGCUGAUCAGAAACCCACAAAUAUCUGCCAGGCUGGCAACAGACCCUAAAGAGAGAGAUUAACAAAAAACAGUUGAGGAGCAAGCUAAAUUCCUACAGGCAAUAGUGGGACCAGAGCUCAUAGGCUGGCACCAAUAGUACAGUUUGGUCCCAAGGAGAAGCAGCAAGGCCAUGCAGGGAAUCACAUAAACAGGUCAGAUUUGUUUGAAGCAGUUUGACAGAGGAACAGACUAUAAAUUGUGGAAACCUGCCCACCUUUGUUUAUUCUUUGGCUGUGGAGGAACCAAGGAUAAAUAACUUGUAUACAAG